GUCCAUGCCGUAAACGAUGUCUACUAGCCGUUGGGGCCUUUGAGGCUUUAGUGGCGCAGCUAACGCGAUAAGUAGACCGCCUGGGGAGUACGGUCGCAAGACUAAAACUCAAAUGAAUUGACGGGGGCCCGCACAAGCGGUGGAGCAUGUGGUUUAAUUCGAUGCAACGCGAAGAACCUUACCUGGUCUUGACAUAGUAAGAACUUUCCAGAGAUGGAUUGGUGCCUUCGGGAGCUUACAUACAGGUGCUGCAUGGCU
rnacentral:rRNA from 1 species